AUGGAGCUGAUGGGAGAGGAUGAAGAUGAUGAGGACAUGGUGGAUAAGAUUGCUGAAGAAGAAGACUUGGAAUUAGGAAACAAUGAUGAAGUGGUGUUUAGCCCACAAACACACCACACUCCUGCCACAGAUGCUCACUCAAGCAACAUGGUUCCUGCAAAGCAGAAAUGGGGCCCGGUGCUAGCUCUGGGGAAGAGUAAUAGAGUUGAUAUAGGAGACAUGACUAUGCUGGAUAUUGCUAUGAACACCAAGAAAGUGCAGAAUCUUGAGGCUAGCAAAAGAAAGAUCAAAGAUCUGGAACCUGGUGCUGGGGCUCUUGAGGAGAUGGUUGAUCCUUCUCAAAGAAGUAGCUCGACUAAAGAUGGAGGAAUUAAUGACAAGAGUUUCCUUGAUACUGAACACUCCUUUCCAGCUCACAGUGGGGUAGUUAAGCUUGACAAAAACACCAAGGGUGUUUUUAGUCAACUGCUUCUUACCAAGCUAACUCUGGGAAAGAUCUCAACUCCAUCGCCUGGCACCACGCCGCCGUCUCCACCCAAGAGUCCGGGAAGUUUCACUUGCAAGCACACACUGCUGAGCCCUGUGACGCCGCUGGACCUUCCAGGCUCCCCUGCUGAGCCGGCAAAAAAGAUCAGAUGCCCUGGUGUUACUCCCUGUAGGAUAUGGAACAUGAAGAUCUCGCAGCUGAAAGAGGAGACCAAGCAAGAAAAUCUCGCCGUCCUGGAGAUCCCAGCCUGA
rnacentral:rRNA from 1 species